GAGGUUAUAGCUCAGUGGUAGAGUGUGUGCUUAGCGUGCAUAAGGUCCUGAGUUCAAUCCCCAGUACCUCC
rnacentral:tRNA from 1 species